rnacentral:rRNA from 1 species
AUACGAAGGGGGCUAGCGUUGUCCGGAAUCACUGGGCGUAAAGCGCGCGUAGGUGGAUCAAUUAGUUGAGGGUGAAAUCCCGGGGCUCAACCUCGGAACUGCCUUCAAUACUGUUGAUCUUGAGACCGAGAGAGGUGAGUGGAAUUCCUAGUGUAGAGGUGAAAUUCGUAGAUAUUAGGAAGAACACCAGUGGCGAAGGCGGCUCACUGGCUCGGUACUGACGCUGAGGUGCGAAAGCGUGGGGAGCAAACAGGAUUAGAAACCCUAGUAGUCC